CACGUAGGGGGCGAGCGUUGUCCGGAUUCAUUGGGCGUAAAGGGCGCGCAGGCGGCUCGGAAAGUCGGGUGUGAAAACUCGGGGCUCAACCCCGGGCGUGCAUCCGAUACUGCCGGGCUUGAGGCAGGUAGGGGAGAUCGGAAUUCCUGGUGUAGCGGUGAAAUGCGCAGAUAUCAGGAGGAACACCGGUGGCGAAGGCGGAUCUCUGGGCCUGUCCUGACGCUGAGGAGCGAAAGCGUGGGGAGCGAACAGG
rnacentral:rRNA from 1 species